AUGCUACAGCUUGCGAUGCGUUCAUACGUUGAGCGCAGCGAUUCUAGGGAAGCCUUGCUACUCGGUCCCUAUGCUAAGGAGGCAACGUCAGCCUCAGUGGUGUGUCGUAUUGUGACAGUGGCACACGGCUCUAAAAUGGCAGAUAUUCCAAGUAAAAAUGACAUUACAGCCGUUUUCAAGAGACUUCGAUCCAUCCCAGCCAACAAGCAAUGUUUCGACUGUGGUGCAAAAAAUCCAACAUGGAGUUCAGUAACGUACGGAGUUUUCAUUUGCAUCGAUUGUUCAGCAGUUCAUCGAGGCCUUGGAACUCACAUUAGUUUUGUAAGGUCGACCAAUCUUGACACCACUUACACAUGGAUUCAGCUACGGUCGAUGCAGUUGGGAGGAAAUGCAAAUGCAACAUCUUUCUUUUCUUCGCACGGCGUCACCGUUCUACAGGUGGAUGCCAAACAGAAAUACAAUAGCAGAGCUGCGUCUUUAUACCGGGAGAAACUGCAUUCAAUGGCUGCAGCGGCAAUGAAGACUCACAGCACAAAACUUUGGAUCGAUGACACACACCACGGGGAUCAUCCCAGCGGCGAGGGAGCAAAGCAGGAUUCCCUUGACUUUUUUGAGGAGCAUACUAGCAAAUCUGCUCAGCAGCAGUUGGAAGAGGCUUCUCAGGAGUGUUUGUUCAACAGUAAUACCAGUGGCAGCAUUAACAACAAUCUUUUCGCCAACCAACAACAGAGCAAUAAUAACAACAACAUAAUCGAAUCGAACAGCGGAAAGAACACUGGGCAAAGUGGAGUCGCAGGUGACGCCUCGGGUUUAGCGGAAGGGCGGAAAUCUGUCAACACUAUUGGCGCUAAGAAAAUUGGCGGACUGGGGGCCAAACGAGUUGGUUGUGGGCUCGGAGCUCGAAAAGCGGGAGGCCUUGGAGCCCAGAAAGCUGCAGUAAAUUUCGAUGAAUUGGAAAAGGAGGCCAAGCAGCGCGAAGAGAUGCGAGCACAUAUGGAGGCUCAGCAAAAGCUUAGCAUCGUCCAAAAAAAGGAGCAGCAGGAAAAACAACUAGCCAACAUGCGUCUUGCCUACCAGCAUGUUUCCGUUGCCCAAAAAAAGGAACCACAAAUGCGCCCCAUGGACUUGAAGAAAACCGAACAGAUGGAAAGGCUUGUCAUGGGCUUUGGCGGAGGGUAUGGAGUGUCACAUUCGGCUCUCUCAGACAUGAAGGUGAUAAGCCAGGAUGAACCCAGCAAAAAUAGAGAUGAGUCCCGAGUAGACAAACUCAGUAAGGGCAGCAGUUCAAUGUUCGAACGUUCUGCCAUCGAUGACGAUGAAGAGGAGGAUGACGAAUACAUAGUGAAGAGCUUCAGGGGCCUAGGCUUCGGAGGGCCGCCAAAGUACUCGGAUUCGCCGUUUUCGCGGAACGUCAAAAACAGCGGCAGCAGCAGCAACAAUAACAACAAUAACAAUGACAGCAACAAUAGCGGAAGUGAAUGGAACAAGACAGGCGAUGAUUGGACAGUUAUCGAUUCGAAAGGCACUGGAUGGAGCAAGAAUGAUUUCCAGUGGCUAGACGACUACAUUGAGCGUAGUGUCCCUAGCAGCAAACCGAGUAGUGGCCGCAAUUCGGCACCCAGUAGGUCGGCCGGAAAUUCAAACGCCAAAUUAGGAACUGAACCAGCUCGGGGUGUGCCAAAGUCAUUGACGAUAGGUGCUCUGUCAAGCAGCUCAUCUUCAGCCGAUGCUCAGGAGGUGGUCAAGAAGUUUGCCAAUGCAAAAUCGAUAAGCUCUGACCAAUUCUUUGGCGGAGAUCAGUCAAAUGAUUACGAAACCCGGGCGAAUCUAUCUAGAUUCGAAGGAUCAAACGCUAUUUCCUCCUCGGACUAUUUCGGUAAUGGUCAAUCGGGUAACGCAGGCGCUUCCACAGGAAGCCUAUCUGCCCAUGCGCCCAAUCUAUAUGAGAUCAAAGAAGGACUCCGUGAUGGUGCCACAAAAGUUGCGACCCGGCUUUCGUCCAUUGCUUCAGGAGUUAUGAGCAGUCUACAGCGUAAGCAAUGAAUGUAGCUGCUACUUCACUACAACCACCAUCUCUGUGGGAAGACAUCUGCAGUUCGCGCCGCUGCGGAUUUCAACCGCCCCUGGCUGGAGCGAUUGCGGCAGAAUGUUUGUUGGGACCUCGACUUCGUAAUAAAGAGUCGCAUCAAGGAAGAUCGUUAGCUGAUCGUUGGGACCUCAUAAGAAAACAAAAACGGAAAACUAAAAAAACAAAAAAUUGAAUUAACCACGAAUAAAAAUAAUACCAUACUACUAAGAAUUCAAGAAGAAAGUAGCGUAUGGCAAGAGCUGCCGCUCUGCUAUAUAACACGUACUAAUGUGUAUGUAUAUCUGAGAACAACUUAUGAUCCAUGCUCUAAAUACAAAUAUGUUGAGUUCUGUGCAUACAUUAGUACGUCCUUCGCGUGUUCGAGAGUGAAAGAAAAAGGGGAAGCGGGACAGGCAGAGGGAAAAGGGGAGUCACGAAAACAAAGAAGAGAAUUUGCUGCCCACUUUCCAGUACAAACACAUUGAAACCGAAGUAGUACUACAGCUACUGUUUCCACUCUAACGGUUAUCCGGAAUCUUCAAAAGCUCUGACGAUUGGAAGAAAAUCUUGAAUGGAGCAGAGAAGAGACUUCUAAUUGGUGCGAUCAGCGGUCGAUUGCUUGGUUCACUGACUGCUGUUGCUGCUCAUGCUGUCGAUUGUUAGCGCGCCUUCUGACCGAAUAUGACACCACGACUCCUCCCGUUCGUAACGUCUACGUCUCUAAAAGGGCGAGAGGAUACGAACCACGUACCGACGUAAUUGAUCCAACUAUCGCACCCAAUCGAUCCAUCGAAAUACUUACCACAUCAAUUAAUCAGCGACCUGCCGCCAACGCAGUGAAAAAGCCCUGCGUCCCUUCAGCACGUCCCGGACCUCUCCAUGCACCCACUCAGACGACACCAUGCACCAUGUAGCCUUGCCAUUUGUCAGUCUUUUUCGACGGGAUUGGCUGCCUGAUUUAUCUCAAUCACAUACCCCGAUGGCGAGCUAAAUGCUAUCAUAACAAUUGUUGUUGCAUUGUCCAUUUUAUCUCUAUUAGUACCGUCGCCACUUUUCUGCUGUAAAGUACCUUUGUAACCUUCCGCGAAACACAGUUUGAAUGGUAACAAAUUCUCACCUCGUGAUGCAUCGUACGGUGCUCUUGGCCCUAGCGAACGCCCUGUUUUGAGUUUCCAUAACUUGUGUUCCUCUUUUGUACAAGCUUAACUCCCUAUACCACUGCAGCCCAUCUAUACCCAUGCAGUUCAUCUGCUGGUCAUUUGACCAAACGACUAAAGCUUGGGCAGGUGACUCGCCUGGUAUGGUUCCGGUGAAGGUAUUUAGCUACAAGCUAUGCCAGUCGAUUCGACACCUUGAAUCUUCUACAUUUAGGGAUAAAUAUUCAGCAGUGUCAUACGUCCGGAGGGUUCUAGCCACUUCUAGCAUUUUUUCUUACGUCUGCGUUAUUUAAGCGACGGAAUGAAAUAGGCAAUAGCGCCAAAAACCAGAAGGUUUCCAGUUCUAAUCUGGUUAAACACAUGCGGAUUGAUGUGGUCUUGUAUUUGCAAAUUUGUUAAUAAAUUACUAUACUUUAAUUAAUAUGCGAAUAUUUCUUUAGUCGUUGUGAUCUACCGUAUAUCCAUAUAAUAGUAAAAAUCUGUUAAGUGUGAGCCUGUUGAACAAUAUUUGGCCUUGUUGUUGCAUGCAACGUUGUAGAAACUAACAAUCAAAGUAAAAAAAUGUACGAUCUGUGUAAGGACAUAGCGAGAGAUUAGUAAGGGCACCACAUGUACAGACAGGUCGUCACAUAAUCGAGGAAGAACCAAGGUAAAAAUGAAGUAUCUAGUGGUCAUGAAACUUCGCAGCUCUGAUUAACUUAACCUUGUUUGGCAUUAUUCGUGUACACUACAUAUGUAAAUGUUUUCAACAUGAGAAGAAGAGCGCAUGAUAAGAACGCGUCUUAGGUACUAUCGUCAAUUAACGUAAUUACUAAACAUUUACUCCGAACACACCAAGCCAAAAACUUCAGUGGUUAAAUUUUUAGCUUGGCGUGACUUUACGCAAAUAGAAGCUAUCAGCAUAAAUUUUUGUAAGCGCAAAUUUGUGUUAGUCGAAUAUACCUGUUAUACACCUUUCAAAUAUCUCUGUUAGCCCUUUUUCCCCAUUAUAUUAUAAACUCUAAUACGAUUCGGGUCAACUAUAAGGAGCAGCGGUAUUCUGCAUAGAUCUAAUUUUUUUAAUGUUUUUGAACAUUUUC